rnacentral:rRNA from 1 species
CCUACGUGAGGCAGCAGUGAGGAAUAUUGGUCAAUGGGCGCGAGCCUGAACCAGCCAAGUAGCGUGAAGGAUGACUGCCCUACGGGUUGUAAACUUCUUUUAUAAAGGAAUAAAGUGAGGCAAGUGUGCCUUUGUGUAUGUACUUUAUGAAUAAGGAUCGGCUAACUCCGUGCCAGCAGCCGCGGUAAUACGGAGGAUGCGAGCGUUAUCCGGAUUUAUUGGGUUGAAAGGGUGCGCAGGCGGGCUGUUAAGUCAGCGGUAAAAGCCCGGGGCUCAACCCCGGCGAGCCGUUGAAACUGGCUGUGUUGUGAUGUCGAGAGGUAUGCGGAAUGCGCAGUGUAGCGGUGAAAUGCUUAGAUAUUGCGCAGAACUCCGAUUGCGAAGGCAGCAUACCGGCGGCGAUCUGACGCUGAGGCACGAAAGCGUGGGUAUCGAACAGGAUUAGAUACCCCGGUAGUC